AGGGAGAGCAGAGUAGGAUUAUUCCAUCAUUCACCUUCAGGCAUCUUCUGCAUUGACCUCUGCCGCACUACCUCAUCUGACAGUACAGUCAGUUAUCCAAGUUUUUUUAGCACUCAAAAGGACUUGCUGCAGCAAACUACACUUUUGUCACAUGAUGGACUCAAGCUAAACAACUUAGAUCCCAAUAUCUGAUCCAUAUCCAUAUCUUGGAUGUUAUGACUGGCAGAGGGGACCUUUUUGGUAGUUCCAGUACCCUCAGAAGUUCAAGGUGGCCUGGAGAGGGCAUUCUCUGUGGCAGCCCCUACAUUGUGGAAUUUCCUCACCACAGAGAUGCGACUGGCACUUUCAGUAUGCCAAAGGCAUACUGGCCUUCUUCCUGGCCUUUGACGUGUGAUAUAUAUAGUUUUAGGGCCCGUGCUAUUCUCUUGACUGCAAUUUGUUUUAAAAUGAUUUUAAAUCACCCACCUGCGAUUCCCAACAAGUGGUAUUCAGAGGCAUACUGCCACUGACAGCAGAGGUAGAACAUAGCCAUUGUGGCUAGCCCUAGCUGGCAUGGGAGUUGUAGUCCAAAGCAGCUGGAGGGCACUUGGUUGGUGAAGACUGUACUACCACAUCUGAAGCUAGCUUAGGGGCUACAGGGCAGGCCCCAUUGCCCCUGGCAUCUAACAGUGACUGUCACAUCCUGCCCAAUGGUAGGGCUGGCCCAGUAUAGCCCUUGAGGAAGAAACCUGGUUCUUCUAAAGAGCCAGAGCCUUUUAGGAGCCACAGACAUGCCAUUAUUAUUAAAGAGAAAGUUUUCUCUAAUGUAUGUUUUCAUGAAAAGUAAGAUUAGCUGAAUUAUAUUUGUCACUGGUAAUGUUAACAACUAGAGUAAAUUAUAAUAAAAUUAUCUGAUUACAGACCAUAGCAGGACAUUCAGAAGGUCAAAGUAAUAAAAGAGGUCAAAGACUC